AAUCGAAAGAAAAAUACACAAAGCACAUGCAACCCACAAAAUCGCAUGCCCUAGGCUCAAGAACGGCGGAGAAAGAGGGGAAGACGACUUACCAGUCGGAACGAAGAAAACGCUCGGUAGAAAUGGAGCUCUCUACGCGGUGAAUGCUUGAACACCUUCAGAAUCAAUAUUGUAUGGUUAAAUUUACUGGAAAUCUAGAGAAAAGACAAAGCACAAGGUUAGGACAAGGCAAUGGUUCUAGAGAGAGAAGGGAAAGGCUGACAAAUGAAUCAGACCUUUAGAAAAG
rnacentral:lncRNA from 1 species